rnacentral:rRNA from 1 species
GGACUACAAGGGUUUCUAAUCCUGUUUGCUCCCCACGCUUUCGUGCCUCAGCGUCAGUUCCGGGCCAGUGAGCCGCCUUCGCCACUGGUGUUCUUGCGAAUAUCUACGAAUUUCACCUCUACACUCGCAGUUCCACUCACCUCUCCCGGACUCAAGAUCUUCAGUAUCAAAGGCAGUUCUGGAGUUGAGCUCCAGGAUUUCACCCCUGACUUAAAAAUCCGCCUACGCACCCUUUACGCCCAGUGAUUCCGAGCAACGCUAGCCCCCUUCGUAUUACCGCGGCUGCUGGCAC